GUUCAAGAAAUCGAUAAAAUGAAUAUUUUAAUUUUCGAAGAAAAAAAUAUUAAAUUGACACCGAAGAAUAGAUUGAGAGGUUAACAAUGAUGUAAAGUCUCAGGAGGCAUUCAGAUAUAUUUUAACAUGUUUGCAGUCAUAUUAUUGAGUUAGAAACUGAUGACAAUACAGGAAAUUGUCAGAGGAAAUAUCACAAAUACAUAAUCUUCAGGAAAUAAUAUGCUUAUGUAGAAAUCGUUGUAUCACAUCAUUUUAGUUAUCUUGCUUCACUAUGGUUCUUGCUGACCUACGGGAUCAUUAAAACAGUUUAAUGAACAGUGAUAUUAUCACAGUUUAAUGAAGAAUGAUAUAUAUAUAUAUAAACGCAUUACAAGAAACUCUCUGUUUCCUUUCAUGUUUGCAUUUUAAUAACUGUCAGAAAUAAUUAUGAGCUCUUGUUUUAAAAAAUCUUUAAAAAGACAAUUGGCUCUGGAUAAUUCCUAAAAAUAUAGCUAAAUUAAUUGUCUGUGAGAGUUAUCUCCAAUUAGUUUUUAUUAAGUUACAUAUGAAGAGUGAUUCUUGACUUUUAUUUAGCAAUAUAAGAUAACGCCAAAUACUUACAAGUCGCUGUAAUUACUUCGUGUUAAUUUAAAAGCAAUCCCCGUCUCCCUUCUCAUAGAAGCCACCGCCUUCUUUGCGACCGGAAGUUGCCAUGAUGCCUGUUUCUUCCAGUAUUGUUCCCUCUACGCAUUCCAUUGUAAUGAACAAUUUCUAUCUUUUUCUGAUACUGUAUGAUUUAAGAAAAUAGAUAUAUAAAACAAUCAAUAAUAGAAA
rnacentral:lncRNA from 1 species